UUGGACCCACCUGACUCCAUUCCGAACUCAGAAGUGAAACGAAAUAGCGCCGAUGGUAGUGUGGGGUUUCCCCAUGUGAGAGUAGGACAUCGCCAGGC
rnacentral:rRNA from 1 species